UACAGAGGGUGCAAGCGUUAAUCGGAAUUACUGGGCGUAAAGGGUUCGUAGGUGGCUUGCUAAGUCAGACGUGAAAUCCCUCAGCUUAACUGGGGAACUGCGUCUGAGACUGGCAAGCUUGAGUGCAGGAGAGGAAUGCGGAAUUCCAGGUGUAGCGGUGAAAUGCGUAGAUAUCAGGAGGAACACCGAUGGCGAAGGCAGGUCUCUGGGCCACUACUGACGCUGAGGAGCGAAAGCGUGGGUAGCAAACAGG
rnacentral:rRNA from 1 species